GAGGGUAUGGCUCAGUGGUAGAGUACGUGCCUAGCAUGCAAAAGGUCCUGGGUUCGAUCCCUAGUACCUCCA
rnacentral:tRNA from 1 species